CCUACGGGAGACAGCAGUGAGGAAUAUUGGUCAAUGGCCGGAAGGCUGAACCAGCCAUGCCGCGUGAAGGUCAGUGCCCUAUGGGCGUUAAACUUCUUUUGUGCGGGAGCAAUAAUGGUCACGUGUGGCCAGACGAGAGUACCGUACGAAUAAGCAUCGGCUAACUCCGUGCCAGCAGCCGCGGUAAUACGGGGGAUGCAAGCGUUAUCCGGAUUUAUUGGGUUUAAAGGGUGCGUAGGCUGUGAGGUAAGUCAGCGGUGAAAUGCCCCCGCUCAACGGGGUGAAGUGCCAUUGAUACUGCCUUGCUGGCAUGCGGAUGCCGUGGGAGGAAUGUGUGGUGUAGCGGUGACAUGCAUAGAUAUCACACAGAACACCGAUUGCGAAGGCAUCUCACGAAUCCGCGAUUGACGCUGAUGCACGAAAGCGUGGGUAUCAAACAGGAUUAGAUACCCCUGUAGUC
rnacentral:rRNA from 1 species